GCACACGAGGAGGAUCAUAACGAAGCACUUGUGCACAUAGGGAGGAUCAUAACGAAGCCCAAGUGCACAUAGGGAGGAUCAUAACGAAGCCCUAGUGCACAUAGGGAGGAUCAUAAGGAAGCACUUGUGCACAUAGGGAGGAUCAUAACGAAGCCCAAGUGCACACGAGGAGGAUCAUAACGAAGCACUAGUGCACAUAGGGAGGAUCAUAACGAAGCCCAAGUGCACAAAUGUGCAAAUGCACAGGCCCAGUCGUACCAAAACAAAGGCACAGGCCUAAUCAUGACCAGAAAAACCAGACAAACGUCACCUGCAGGACAAAGAUACAAAUUCAGAUCAACCAGAGCAAACAGGUUUCAUUAUAAAACAGCACAACCUAAACAUGUCUGCAGUGUCACUGCCUCGGCAUGCGUGUCUUAAUACUUGGGAUUACACUGUAACGUGGACAUGCAUCAUCCUCCUCACUGUUAUUACUACUGCACAUAUUUAUCCAGAGUGAAUUCCAGCAGCCUCUCACCCUCAGAGCCGCCAGGUCGAUCUCAUCCAGACUCCGUGUAGUUUGUGGACACCUGACCAUCACACCCGUAUGUGUUCCGUCCCCCAACUGUCUGAAGCACACAACUGUACGCUUGUCUGUGGGACGUUUUUCUGACAUUUUACUGUCAACUAAACGGCCCGGACAUGUUCCAGACACAUCGUCUGCCAAGGCUGGAGUGGAAGAACCCGAGUGUCAACCCCACUAAACACCUUCAGGGUGAACCGGAACACCGACUACACCCCAUCAACGCCUGAUCUCACUACCAUCACAAAUCCCCACAGCCACGCUACAAAAUCUAACGAGAAGCCUUCCCAGAAGAGUGGAUUAUAUAUUAUUAUAAAGGAAGAACAGUACUAAAUCUGGACCGGAACAUGUUCGAUAAGUACAUACAGGUGUGACAGUCAGCUGUCCACAAACUUUUGGUCUUAGUGUAUGUUGUUGGAGGUACAGUACAUUAUGAAUGUUGAAAUAGCAGCAAGAUCCUGAUCCCAGGACUAUAUCAGUGCAUAUUGUCCUCAUGUCCCUCAACAGAAAACCGCUGUGUGGAAUCGAUUCCUAGAGUCUACAUAAUUAUUCGGAGGAAUCGAUUCUUAGAAUCUACUUCA